AUUCACUCCUCCCCACCAGCAAAUCAUCUUCCCGACAACCUCGUAAAUCCCGCAGACGUACAGCCCUCAGAGACUUCUUCCUUUCAAAUUUCUUCACCAUAGGCCUCUCUUUCUCACUCUUCAUCUUCAUUCUCAUCGUAUACAGCUAUGGAGUCCCUAAACCCCUUCUCUCAUCCCAUUUCCGGGCUGCCCGAACCAGAUUCCAUCGACUCAGGAAGCCCACUUACCGGAAAUCUCCUGGUAGCGACGCUGUGUCAGGUGCGGUUGUUGAUA
rnacentral:misc_RNA from 1 species